UGCUGAGAGAUUGCAAAGACAAAGAAAUCUCACCCUGUCAUAUAAACCAAGCAGAUACAACCCUUCGCUUUUUACGUACAUGUUCUCAAGAUAAAAAAUAACUAGUCUUCAAAUAAGAAGGCAUGACAGCACCAUUUGUCACACAUAAUUCAUCCUAGCUUCACUAGGUAAUUGGGGUGACCAUCGGUGUUAGCUAGUUGGCUUUAUCCAGAGGAAGAACAAACUUCUCUUAUCUUUAUGACAAGAGGGGAAUUUUGCAACUUGGAGGAAGACAUCUGCUGAUUUAGGCACCUACCCUCCCCAUAGAAACAGUGAGAUGUAUGCUAUCUCCCUUGAUUUACAUUUCAAAGAGAUGGCUCCCAGGUCCUUGAGGAUGCAUUCCUGGGUUACAAAAUUGGCAAGAGACUUAUUUAGCUUUGAAAAAGAUACAUAUACAUUUCAAAGAGGCAGAGAAGUAAUUUACAAGUUUUCUAAAGGAAAUGCUCUAAGAAAAGGGAGGGGAGAAAGUCUCUUCCCUUUCUUUCAACAGAGAGAAUUGCCUUUUUUGUCCCCUCUCUUAUUUUUGGUUUGUAUUUGCCCUUACAGAAACAACAUGUGUUCAUUCAUUCAAGCAAUAUUUUUUGAACAUCUGCUAUGUGCUCACAAGAACGGUAGCGUGUACUCUGUCUCAGGAACUGUGCUGGGAACCUCACAUAAAUUAUAUCCUGGCUAAGGGGUGCAGAUGACAUAAGACUUCAUAGCAGAAGUGCAGCAACUUGGGCAGAAACGUAUAGCAGCACAGUGGGGCUCCAGUAGGAGAAGUCUGGUCCAAGAGGGGUGGAGCCACAUGAAGGUCCUGUGGACAUGUGCCUGUGUAGGUGCAAAGUGCCAUGAAGUGGCGUGGGGACCAAGCUAGGUGCCCAAGGAUCGUCGCUUCCAAAAUUCCUUGGAGAAGACUUGUCCCAAAGACUUGUGCUCAGGAAAGUUCCUGGAUCCAACCACUGCCCCCCAUCGACCCCCCGCCGAGAUCCCAGUUCCCAGCCAGACCACUGAAUUGUUUCAGCCUCACUAGCAGGACUGGCUUUCCAACUUGCUCGAAAAAAUAGCUUGUGACUUGGACGGUUUUCAACUUAAGAAGAAAACAUCUUAGUUUCCAACAAGAGUGAGCUACACAACUCUAAGCUUUUACCUUAAAACUGUUUGAAACAUUAACUUGAAAUAGUUGGGAAGCAACGCUGCCUCUCAGGAAGAGAAACGGGCUCCAACGUUUCCAAAACCCAGAGGCGCUGGGAGCAAAGCCUGGCCCCGCCUGUCCCAGCCCCUCGCGUCCCCGCCUGCUCGUGCUCCCGCCCAAGCCUGCCUCUUUCUACGUCCGGUAUCUAUGGUUACUGACCCGCCCAGGCUCCGUCUCCAGGCCCCGCCUCUUCUCUCCGCGUGAGUCCAGUUUCCUGCAGACCUGGAAGUGGAUAGUGUGGAGGGAAGGUCACUCUGUGGAGACUGAGUUUCAUCUUCUAUCUGCAUUCUGCAGUACCCCUCACCACGCCUGGGGUCUAGGGGUGGCUACAGAUCUUAAAAUCCUCGCACCCGCCUUCGUGCCUGGGGUCUGGAGGUGGCUACAGAUCUUACAAUCCGCGCACCGCCUCUCCACGCCAAGUAAAUUUAGAUGUCACUGUGAGAAGCUGAGGGCGCUUCCCUUUUGGUUUAAAAUGUGCGAGAUGGGUCCACACCCUUCAUGCCCCUCAAGCCUUACCUUUCUCCUCCCCUGGGGGGUGUCACCAACUAGUGCCUGGAGAAAUUCAAGGGUGGGUUUGGAAGCAAUUAACUUUUUCCAGGUUGUUUCUUUUCCUUUUGUAUGUUAAGGAGGUGUAAGGAGCAGCCAGCCUGAAACUGACCAAGUGAGAAACUGAAGGGAGUUGUAACCACCAGCCAUCCUGAAACUGACCAAGGCUUGCCACAAGAGCUAUGCCCAUGACCUUUGCCUUAUUUUUAAUGCAAAGAUCUCUCCAGGAGGAGCCUAGACUUCAUUAUGUGGAAGCAUGUCCUCCCACUGAGCCUGUGCAAGCGAAUACCUGACUCUCCCUUUUGAAUAUUCAUUCCCCAACUGAAAUAAAAGUUCUUGCUUCACUUUGUUCAGAGAUGCCAUGACUUUGGAAAUGAUUCCUUAUGGCCUCUUAUUUGCUGCAAAUACACUUUACUUUGUGAAACAACUUCUAGUGGUGUAGAGUCUCAUUUAACUCACCAGGAGGCGGGCUCACUUGGUUCAGUAACAGAGGCAGCUCCAGCCACCAUGCUCCAGGAGAGGCUGCGUGUUGUCCCAGGUCCUGGGAUUCUGGACCCCACCUGUCUGCUGAGACCCAGCCACUUCCACUCACCUUGCAUCAUCCUCCGCCAGGUCUGUCCACUCCCCAGGCACCCCCCUCAUUAGUCACAGCUUCUCCUCACCUUGCACUAGGGGAGGUGACUAAAAAGGACCUGUCUUGAGACACCCAGUGUUUUACCGUUCCAAAUUCCAUUCCACUGGAUAAUAUGCUCUCGAGGGAAGCAGGCAUCUUAUCCUUAGCUCAGGUUCCCUGGAACACAGAUGCUGAGACUGAGAUUUGCAUGCGUGGGUUUAAUUGGGAAACUCCUGAUCACAUCUGAGGAGGAAUGAAGGAAGUGGAAUUAGGCAGACAGAAAUGUUAUCCUGCAAUGUAGUUAGAACAAAGGCCUGAGCUGAGCCCACAAGGAGCUCUGGCUGCAGGAGGAUGGGUGCCUUGGUGCUGAGGGGGUGGAUCUAGGAGGUGCCCGUUUUGUGCCAAUCUCAGCCUAUCGAUAACCAAUAUAAUUGUUGAAUAUUACAGUAACAGGUUAAACUAGGUUUAGACUAAGAUAAAAGAUUACUGACAUCUUUACCAAGUACACAUUGGAACAAUCUAAAAUUAUUUAUUCGAUACUAAAGAAUGUUUCCAAUAUAUAUGACAUAGAGCAGAGAGCCUGUGGGUUGUGGUUGGACCUGCCCUUGUGGUUUUUAUUAUGAUUGCAAGACACCCUUCAGCAAUGACCAUCAGGAAACCGAAAAAAUAAAAGUUUAUCACUUACUAGACCUGGAAAUUACACAGCACACCUGGGGCCACACAGGGAGGUCACAGGAAGAGAGAGAGAAGGAGUGCACUUGCCUGGGGUUCUGCUUUUAUUGGAGUCUAGGGUGGAGUUUAGGGUUUCAUGGGCUCACUCUUUAUUGGUGAAUUUAAAACAAUGGGAAUUUAAAACAUUGGAAGAGAAAAAAAAAAAAGUAGCCCAAAUGGUCAGUUAUUGAAAUCAACCAAGAUCUCUAACACAAAGGUGCCUCGGUGCAGUGAGACAGCUUGGUUCUUUAUCUAGUCCUGUGGCUGGCAAUAUAUUUAUUUGAGAUAGCCCUCUUUGAAAUGGAUGCCUCGGCAAUCAAAGUUUAAGUCAGGCACUUGCAUUACAAAAAAGAGAAAACUCAAUUAUCAGGGCUUACACUACAGUGCCCCAGACCAUCCACUCCACACAAUGACUUCCCUGGGAGCCUGCUAGGGUCAUUGUCCAACCCGGAGAGGAUUUGUAGGGAGUCUCAGAGAACAUUUUGGGGGAUAACUUUGGAAUUUGGGGUUAUUCUGGAUUGCAAGUCAAGAAGGUUUCACAUGCAUUUUGGAAGACCCAAACGAGCAUUUGGAGUGUUUUUGGAAGAUAGGAUCUCAGUGGGGCAUGUGCUUCCUUGUAGACAUCUGUUGAGAGUGAGGAGAGUGUUCUGAGUGAGAGACUCUUAGUUGUGCCCUCUUCUGCUCCUGAUCAGCUCCCCCCUCACUCAUGAUAAAGACUAUUCCAAGGACAAUCAGGAUCCUUGCACACAUCAGUCCCCCAAAAUUGCAGCCACGCCAGAGGGUGUACUACUAUCCCUCUGUGUGUUGCUGACCUGUAAAUUGUGCACCAGUUGCCAGCCCCAUGCACAAUCUUAGUAUGGUAUGGCAUCCUUCCCCUAGUGCAUCAUCAAUUUUCACAUCUUAGGAAUUAUUUUGGUCAACAUACACAGAUGGUGGGAUUGUCUGUCUUAAACACACACACACACACACACCCCAACGCUUUUUAUUCACUCUUUUCUUCUAUUGUUAAAGCAAAAAAUUCUCUAUUAACUACAUUUCCCCCUCUAGUAAGUACCCCUUUCCUGUGCUCCCUUUCAGAGCACAGUACAGUAAAAGCUUGUUUAUACGCUCUUCAAAUCUUACCACCAGUUCUCACUUGAAACCCAUCUAGUCAAACUUCCACAUCCACAUUCCACUGAUACUUUCUUGUUCAGAGCCACCAAUGACCUCCCCAUUUCUAAAUCCAGUAUUUAAUUUCCUGUCCUCAUCUUACUUUUCCUGUCAGCAGCAUGUGACACAGGUGAUCCUCCCUCUUCCUUGAAACACUUUUAUUCUUGGCUUUGAGGACACCCCACUAACCUUUAUAAACCUGUUUUGUUUCUUUCUCACUUCCCUGAUCACCUCUCAGUUUCCUCUGCUGGUGUCUGCUG